rnacentral:rRNA from 1 species
CAUUACUGAGUUUACGCUCUAUAACCCUUUGUGAACAUACCUAUCACUGUUGCUUCGGCGGGUAGGGUCUCCGCGACCCUCCCGGCCUCCCGCCUCCGGGCGGGUCGGCGCCCGCCGGAGGAUAACCAAACUCUGAUUUAACGACGUUUCUUCUGAGUGGUACAAGCAAAUAAUCAAAACUUUUAACAACGGAUCUCUUGGUUCUGGCAUCGAUGAAGAACGCAGCGAAAUGCGAUAAGUAAUGUGAAUUGCAGAAUUCAGUGAAUCAUCGAAUCUUUGAACGCACAUUGCGCCCGCCAGCAUUCUGGCGGGCAUGCCUGUUCGAGCGUCAUUUCAACCCUCAAGCUCUGCUUGGUGUUGGGGCCCUACAGCUGAUGUAGGCCCUCAAAGGUAGUGGCGGACCCUCCCGGAGCCUCCUUUGCGUAGUAACUUUACGUCUCGCACUGGGAUCCGGAGGGACUCUUGCCGUAAAACCCCCCAAUUUUCCAAAGGUUGACCUCGGAUCAGGUAGGAAUACCCGCUGAACUUAAGCAUAUCAA